rnacentral:lncRNA from 1 species
UCUGUUCUGCUAAGGACACAGUCUCCAUUAUCUCCUGCUUGUCUACUUGCCUAUAGAUCCUCCUGCGUGUCUUCUGCUUCAGAGUCUGAGAUCAUUGGAAGCAAGGAAGCAAAGAGGAAAUUAUCUCUGAUCAGUAUAACUGGUCUAAAGGUCUCAUGAUUCUAUAGACUUUAGGGUGUUUCACCAAGCAAAAGAAGGAUAGAAGAGGAAAAUUCCUUCUUGCAUUCCAGGUUUGUAUGAGUGGGGACCUGGAAUAAUGGCAA